UACUCAGGUGGAGUUCCAUCCCUGGCCCGCAGUCCGCACAAUCGAUAACUCCACCGAUACGAAAUAGCUGCUUUAAAACAGAAGAAACGCAUCACUAACAAAACAAAACAUCUGCCGCUCAAUUGAAUAUUGCGCUAAACAAAAGGAAAUGUAGAAACAAACUAUUGACGACGGGCCCAGUUGGACCCCGGCGUACCCACCCUGCCUGAGAAGGUCACAUCGGCGCCAUUUCCUUGCAAUGGCCACUACAUCAGUGGUUGCUCCUCAUCCGGCGUAGCGCUGUGGAAUUCCCUCCCCACCAUGAUGAGAAAACUCACACAAUCAUGUUCAUCAUAACAAACAAAAUACCAAAUAAACGAAGUAGGAACGGAGCGAAACAACAACGGCCACAACGGCGUAAAGGACAACUUUUCCUUGAUGCGUCACACUCAUUGUCAACCUGAACCUAAGAGCUCUUGGUGGUCGAGGAAGGGGCGAUACGGGUGAGGUGAUUGCAAAUAUAUACAUAUGUAUAAAUUAGUAAAUAUAAAUAUAUGAAUCCCGCCGCAAGUAAAUUUCUAGCGCACUUGAAUAAUGGAGCUGAGAACCUAUCAGCAUUCAUCAAAAGGAUAGAUUUCUUUCGAUCAUUGUACCCAACGAGAUGCGUUAGACAAAAUAUCGUAAUUUUCGGAGCCAUUGAGAGACAGCUGGAGGGAGAGGCUCUGAGGACAGCC